GUGGAACUACUAAUCUCUGAGUCACGACUAUAAUAUCAUGAAAAGCGACAUGGCUCAAUUUGGAGAUCCCUUUGAACUCCAUUAUGAAUAGCUUAUAAAUCAUAUUUUAGUGCUGAAGUCAUGAAAAGAAAAACUACCUAGAAGGAUUGAGAAGUUGGCCUUAGUGGCACAAGAAAAUAAUAUGAAUGGUGACCAUGAUCUAAGAGUAGCCAA
rnacentral:lncRNA from 1 species